UACGUAGGGUGCAAGCGUUGUCCGGAAUUAUUGGGCGUAAAGCGCACGUAGGCGGCUUAGCAAGUCGGAAGUGAAAUCCCUCGGCUCAACCAAGGAAGUGCUUUCGAAACUGCUGAGCUUGAGUACUAAAGAGGAUCGCGGAAUUCCCGGUGUAGAGGUGAAAUUCGUAGAUAUUCGCAAGAACACCAGUGGCGAAGGCGGCUCACUGGCCCGGAACUGACGCUGAGGUGCGAAAGCGUGGGGAGCAAACAGG
rnacentral:rRNA from 1 species